UGGCGAAUGAACAGGAAACAGCCCAGCAUGGAAAAUGGAGCCGAUGGCUUUGAUGUGUAGUGUGGACAUGUGUUGCCAACAAGGGUGCAGAUAUAAGCCUCCUGGAACAGAGCACUGAUGAAGGUGAGAGUCCUUGUAGAUUGUUUGCAACCCCGUGUGCACGGCAUGCACUGAGAGAGUCACGUUCCUCGGGACUGGAGCGCAAAGUGGGUGGUAAGCUUCAUCUAAUGCUUCGUAUGUGUUCGAGACCAAUAGCGCACAAGUACCAUGAGGGAAAGAUGAAAAGGACUUUGGAAAGAGAGUUAAAAGUGAUUGAAAUUGCUGACUGGGAAGCGGAUGGAAGCAGUGAAGCUGAGCAACAUUGCUGCGCUCUGUGCCCAUGAUGCAAUGCUGUCUCAACGAAAGUGGUGCAGUGCUGUUCAGGGUGCUGAGUGCGGUGUCGUUUGCUUUGAUUGUCAACCGCAAUUCUGAACUGAGGAAUUGUGCGGCAAUAUGCAUUCCUUUUUUUGGAAAGGAAAUGAUUUGCUGCAUAACUUGUCUGGGAAUUGAUUGUGCAUUGAUCAAUGCAGCGCUUGCCUGUCAAGUGUGAGACUAUUGUCUCGCUUGGUAGGUGCAGCCACAAUUUGAACAAGUCCAUUGACAACAUGAUUUCAUCUGACCCGUCUUGAAACACGGACCAAGGAGUCUAACAUAUGUGCGAGCAGUUGACACAUUGUGUUUGUUGCAAAAUGAAAUUGACUGCUGGGAUGUGUGCACCAGCAAUCGACUGCUCAAUUGUGAAAGGUUUGAAUAUGAGCACAUCUGUUAGGACCCGAAAGAUGGUGAACUAUGCCUGCCGAGGGUAAAUUCAGGAGAAAUUCUGAUGGAGGCUUGCAGCGAUACUGACGUGCAAAUCGUUCGUCAAAGGUGGGUAUAGGGGCGAAAGACUAAUCGAACCAUCUAGUAGCUGGUUCCCUCCGAAGUUUCCCUCAGGAUAGCUGGAGCUGAACAGUUUUAUCAUGUAAAGCGAAUGAUUAGAGGAAUCGGGGACAUGAUGUGCUCGACCUAUUCUCAAACUUUAAAUGGGUAAGAUCCAGUGGUUCCCCAAGUGAACUUCUGGGAUAAAUGACAGCUCUAAGUGGGCCGCUUUUGGUAAGCAGAACUGGCGAUGAGGGAUGAACCUAACACUGCAUUAAGGUGCCCAAGUGCUCGCUCAUCAGAUACCAUAAAGGGUGUUGGUUCAUUUCAACAGCAGGACGGUGGUCAUGGAAGUCGAAAUCCGCUAAGGAGUGUGUAACAACUCACCUGCCGAAUGGACUAGCCCCGAAAAUGGAUGGCGCUCAAGCGAAGAACCGACAUGCGGUCAUUG
rnacentral:rRNA from 1 species